rnacentral:piRNA from 1 species
AUGGCUUAGAGGUUAAGAGCAUUGGC